UUGAAAUUAUUGUUGCCCCAGCCACACGCAAAUUCCUGAGAGGAGCUAGUGUUGAGGUACUGUGUUUGAAUGCGUGUGGAGGCCACUAGUAAGAGUCUGGAGACUCCUGUGUAACCGUGUGACCGAUCACUCUGAAAUAAAACUUUCAGAAGAGGAAACCAACCAGUGUCUGUGAUCACCCGUGUCCCAAGCUCUGUCCAUCCUUGGUUUGAGAGUUAUGGAGA